rnacentral:tRNA from 1 species
GCCGGGGUGGUCGAGAGGUGAGGCGGCGGGCUGCAGACCCGCUUUACGUGGGUUCAAAUCCCACCCCCGGCUCCA